rnacentral:rRNA from 1 species
UACGGGGGGGGCAAGCGUUGUUCGGAAUUACUGGGCGUAAAGGGCUCGUAGGUGGCCAACUAAGUCAGACGUGAAAUCCCUCAGCUUAACUGGGGAACUGCGUCUGAUACUGGAUGGCUUGAGUUUGGGAGAGGGAUGCGGAAUUCCAGGUGUAGCGGUGAAAUGCGUAGAUAUCUGGAGGAACACCGGUGGCGAAGGCGGCAUCCCGGACCAAUACUGACACUGAGGAGCGAAAGCCAGGGGAGCAAACGGG